GCUGUAGCUCAGGGGCAGAGCAUCUGCUUUGCACGCAGAAGGUCCCUGGUUCAAUCCCCAAGGGCAUCUCCA